CAGAUCUCCCUGUGGCACUUCUGCUUCUCUGCUGUCCAGGGAAAGGGCUGGUUUAGAAAGGUGUUCCUGGUGGAAUACAGGCCUCUGAGGAAAAUGGUGACUCCGAAAACCAUGGAGAAGUCAGAGCUACGGGAUGGGGACCUCACAGAAAGGUAUGGAAGAGCAAGAAACUCCAAACAAGCUAACUUCAGCUUGAAGAAAGAAGGGAAGGACUCAUCUUCCCUGCUAGCGCACUACUGCCCCAGAGACCAUUCAGGUGAUACAAAGAAGAGUGAACCUAACCCAACAGAGCCUGAUGGUGACCGAACAUGCAUGUGGUAGCCUAAGACAUACUACGAUUAGGCUGCAGACUACAUCAUCAUCAGGUUCUGAAUACAAGACUGAAUCUUGCAAAUUACUACUCUGCCUGAAAAAUGAGUAAAUCAGCUGUGAGAAGCUAGCUUUUGGAAGCCCCCCAGACUACUAAACUCUAAAGAAGGGAGCUAGUUUCGAUCUUUAACAAAACGGCAAAAGUGUGGAAAUGGCCACGACCUUUCAUUGUCAAUUGUAAAACAGCCAAUUAGCCACCCCUACAACUCCGCCCCCUUGUCCCCAAACUCCUGGGUUAAUUUACCCAAGAGAAUGGAAGAGAUUUGAAGGAGCUUUUCCAAACCUAGGCCAAUUACUGAAUUUGCUGAAACAUGGAUUAGGUAUUGAAAUUACCUAGAAUAGCACCUUUGGAAUCACUGUCAACUUCAAUUACAGGUCAGCAGUUCAUUGGGUUCUGUUUUAUUUUGCAAUUAUGUAAAUUAAACCACUUGAGUAAGAUUAUUUAAAGUGGCAUUGGCAUGUGCAGUAAAGUAAAACGGGUUUAAUAUGAAUCCUGGACAAUGGCUGUGCCUACAUCAGAGCCCAGAGCACUAUAAAGGAACCUUACAGUUAAUGAGAAACAGGCCCUUUAUCUUCAAAUGUCCUGCCAGUGCUCCCACUGGGGCAGCUUUAGUUAGAUUAUCUAACCCUGCUCAAAAUGGCAGCACCCAGAAGUGGCCUGUGUACACUGGCAUUCCCACUAUUGGAGCUGCACCAGUGGUAACAAUGAUGAGAAAUUAUAAAAAGGGGGAAAACCUGCUGUAAAGAAGGCCAGGGGGUCUGAUCUUGCUUCCACUGAAAUCACUGGCAAGACUGCCUCUGACUUUAAUGGAAAUUGAAUAAAGUCCUAUACAAACUGUUUCUUAGACAAAGUUAUACCAAAUAGAAUUCCCAUUUGAAUUCCCAGGAGAGCCAAAAACUUGAUCUUGCCAGAAGUCAUUGGAAGUUUUGUCAUUGACUUCAGCAAGAGCAGAAGGAAGCCCAAAAUAUUACAUCUGUUUAAUUAUUAUUUUAUACCAAAACUAAACUACAUUUUAAAAAUUAAACACACAAAACCAAACCGAUAUAUUCCUGACGUGAAGCUUUGUAUAACUUUUAACCCAAGAAGAGAAUUUUUUUUUCAGUAGAUUUAAGGCCCUGUGAAAAAAUGGAUUUAUAUUGGAACUGCACACAAAGGUCUUGUAAAAGAAAAUGUCAAAUAUUCUUUAAAUAUCUUAGAUUUAUUUCAGACUUAAUUUUAACGUUCGGAGUGUAACUUAAAAAAACCCCCAACAACCUUUAAUUAUUCAGCUUCAAAGGCAUUUCAUAUCGACUGUAUUCCCCAUUUUUUACCUUCCUUCAAAGUACACGCAGUCUAGACACAGUCCAUGACCAGGUUCUAUUCUGAGGGCUAUUAAGUAUUGAGGAGGAAUUGUAUUAGUUUCAUAGUUGUAGUCCAAUUUCUAUUGCAAUAUGGAGAAGAUGCAACUUAAAAAUGGCCUGUGAAAAACUACAUAUU